UACGUAGGGGGCGAGCGUUGUCCGGAUUUAUUGGGCGUAAAGAGCUCGUAGGCGGUUCGGUAAGUCGGAUGUGAAAUCUCCACGCUCAACGUGGAGGGGCCAUUCGAUACUGCCGUGACUCGAGUCCGGUAGGGGAGUGUGGAAUUCCCGGUGGUAGCGGUGAAAUGCGCAGAGAUCGGGAGGAACACCCGUAGCGAAGGCGGCACUCUGGGCCGGUACUGACGCUGAGGAGCGAAAGCGUGGGGAGCGAACAGG
rnacentral:rRNA from 1 species